UUUGCUAUAUGAGUGUUCACACCUUCAUGGGAAGAAACAAUUUUUACAUUCCAAACCCAAUGGGAUCCCACUGACUAGGACAAAAACAGCCUCUCCUGGAGGAAAAGCCAGCCUCUCCCUCCCAGGCAUACAAGCAGCUGCUAUUCUUUCCUAUUCAAACAGUUUUCAAGUGCUGCAAGCCUGAAUUAAGGGGUCAUGGCUGGUGAGCAAUGAGGGAACAUUAAAGACUCUGGAAGUGCAUUUUGGCUCUGUCAAAGAAUGGUGAGACCAAAGCAGGAGGAGAACCUGAAGCACACCUUCCUUUCUCCAACACCCACAGAAGAAGAAGCACUGAGAAAGAGUCUUCUAUGGGGUGAAGAGUUGAGCAGACAGAAGGCCUCUUAUAAAUGCUGCUGGAGAUGAGAACUGAGACAGGGUGAAGGAAUAUUU